AAAUGAAUAGACGGGGGCCCGCACAAGCAGUGGAGUAUGUGGUUUAAUUCGAAGCAACGCGAAGAACCUUACCAGGGCUUGACAUCCUACUAACGAAGCAGAGAUGCAUCAGGUGCCCUUCGGGGAAAGUAGAGACAGGUGGUGCAUGGUUGUCGUCAGCUCGUGUCGUGAGAUGUUGGGUUAAGUCCCGCAACGAGCGCAACCCUUAUGUUUAGUUGCUACGCAAGAGCACUCUAGACAGACUGCCGUUGACAAAACGGAGGAAGGUGGGGACGACGUCAAAUCAUCAUGCCCCUUAUGUCCUGGGCUACACACGUACUACAAUGGCGGCCAUACAGAGCGAGGCAAAGCAGUGAUGCCAAGCGAAUCGCUAAAAGCCGCCUCAGUUCAGAUUGCAGGCUGCAACCCGCCUGCAUGAAGUCGGAAUUGCUAGUAAUCGCGGAUCAGCAUGCCGCGGUGAAUACGUUCCCGGGCCUUGCACACACCGCCCGU
rnacentral:rRNA from 1 species